rnacentral:tRNA from 1 species
GCCGCGUUCGUCUAGCGGUUAGGACGCCGCCCUCUCACGGCGGUAGCACGAGUUCGAUUCUCGUACGCGGUA